CAUUAUAUCGUCAUACUGCUCCAUCAUAAUAUAAUAUGAUGGAGAAGUGUUAUGAUAUAAUGAUGGAGCAGUAUGAUGAUAUAAUG